GACUCGAGUGGUUUCUUAAAAACGCAUCAUCAUCAUAUUCACUUUAAAAGUUGAAGAAGACAUUAUACUAUCGUAGAUGCCUAAAUGAAUUCGAUCAGUCGUACACAAAAAAAUGUCUUGUGUCGAUGAUUAUUAAAUGUUAAGUAUUUUACAACAUUUUAUAUAAUUAUAAAUUGUUUACCAUUAAAUACAUCUAAAAUAUCGAUCAUGGAUCCUAACAAUUCAAAAACCGUACCAAGAGAAAACACUCCACCACCGCCGUACGACGAAGGUCCAGGAAUUUAUCCAGCAGGUUUUGUUUACUCUAAUGAUUACACAACGCAACAUCAAAAUUUUGCACCCGAGUGUAUAAUAGAAUCAACUUUGGGUCCAAUGCCAGUUCAUAUGUUUUGUCCGACGUGCCAUAAUUAUAUAAUUACCGAAACCGAUGAAUCGCCGUCAAACGAAGCGUAUUUAUGUUGCAUGCUAAUAUUUAUCGUAGGGUGUACUUUAUGUUCGUGUCUACCGUUCUUCAUGAAAUCUUUUCAAAAAGUUGACCACAAAUGUCCGCAGUGUACGUCUUACAUAGGAACGUAUAAACCAUAAACAUUACGAUACACGCCACUUUAUGUAUAAAUUAUGCUUGCAUACAAUUAUUUAAAACGUGAUCCACAGUCAUUCAAAACGCAAUUGAUGCCGUGAAUUGUUAAUUGAAUAAAAUUCAACUUCCUAUACUGCCUGAAGUUCCGUCGACGAAUGGACUCUUCAACAAGUCACCAAUCAUAUAUCCCUAUUGCAUUUCACUUAAAUUUUUGUGAAUCCAAUAUAGAUUGCGUAAUAUAAUAAUAAAUGUUUAAGAAAAAAUAUUUUAUGGUAUAAUAUUAGAGUUUUAGCACACUGAAGACUUUCUUCCUUUUAAUUCGUAUUUUUAUUUUUGAAUUUUAUUAAAAUAUUGUAGUUAAUUUCUUGUACUAUUUUUUCGAAAAAGAAGUGUUAAAAAAAUACAUAAUCAAAUUUAAAAGAACAUUUAUAAUGUUACUGAAAAAAAAAAAAUUGAAAA